CUUCCGGUCUGGUUGAUUUUUCUAUCUACCCAAUCAGCUCAUGGAGGUAACGGGGCUGUAUCCCUGGACCCAAGUCCUCUGCAGAUCAGGUUGUGGCUCUCAGUUAUUCCCCAGCGCCGUACCCGCCAGCUGACAUGCUCUCUACCAUGAUGAUAAUGGACUAAGCCCCUGAAACUUUCCAGCCUUCUUCAUCGACGCCAAGGCUGUUUGACACUCAAGCACCAACCACACGUGGGUAUUUGGACAUGGCCAGUCCGAACUGAGAUGUGGUAUGGCGUAAGACAAUACUGGAUUUUGAAGACCUAAUACCUCAAAGUGAAAAAUCAGUUCAUUACUAAUUGUAUAUGGGUUACAUAUUGAAAUGGGGUACUGUACACACAGGGUCCAAUAAACAUUACAAGUGACUUCCCA